CAAUAAGCGNAGGAAANGAAACCAACAGGGAUUGCCCCAGUAACGGCGAGUGAAGCGGCAGCAGCUCAAAUUUGAAAUCUGGCCCCCCCCCCCGGGGGGGCCCGAGUUGUAAUUUGCAGAGGACGCUUCGGGCGCGGCGCCGGCCGAGUUCCUUGGAACAGGACGCCGUAGAGGGUGAGAGCCCCGUACGGCCGGACGCCUAGCCCGUGCGAAGCUCCUUCGACGAGUCGAGUAGUUUGGGAAUGCUGCUCAAAAUGGGAGGUAAAUUUCUUCUAAAGCUAAAUACCGGCCAGAGACCGAUAGCGCACAAGUAGAGUGAUCGAAAGAUGAAAAGCACUUUGAAAAGAGGGUUAAAGAGUACGUGAAAUUGUUGAAAGGGAAGCGCCUGUGGCCAGACGUGCCGCCCGCGGACCACCUGGCGCCCCCGCGCCAGGGCACGCCGCGGGCGCGCAGGCCAGCAUCGGCCUCCCCGGGGGGACAAAGGGCGCGGGAACGUAGCUCCUCAGGGAGUGUUAUAGACCGCGCCGCCAUGCCUCCGGGGGGGCCGAGG
rnacentral:rRNA from 1 species